UCCUUCAGGGGAUAGCGCAGGGAUGGACCUAUGGCGCAUUAGCUAGUUGGCGGGGCAACGGCCCACCAAGGCAACGAUGCGUAGCCGGCCUGAGAGGGCGGACGGCCACAUUGGGACUGAGACACGGCCCAGACUCCUACGGGAGGCAGCAGUAGGGAAUUUUCGGCAAUGGGGGAAACCCUGACCGAGCAACGCCGCGUGAGCGAAGAAGGCCUUCGGGUCGUAAAGCUCUGUUGUAAAGGAAGAACGUCGCAUGCAGGAAAUGGUGUGCGAGUGACGGUACUUUACCAGAAAGCCACGGCUAACUACGUGCCAGCAGCCGCGGUAAUACGUAGGUGGCGAGCGUUAUCCGGAAUCAUUGGGCGUAAAGAGGGAGCAGGCGGCCGCAAGGGUCUGUGGUGAAAGACCGAAGCUAAACUUCGGUAAGCCAUGGAAACCGGGCGGCUAGAGUGCGGAAGAGGAUCGUGGAAUUCCAUGUGUAGCGGUGAAAUGCGUAGAUAUAUGGAGGAACACCAGUGGCGAAGGCGACGGUCUGGGCCGCAACUGACGCUCAUUCCCGAAAGCGUGGGGAGCAAAUAGGAUUAGAUACCCUAGUAGUCCACGCCGUAAACGAUGGUCACUAAGUGUCGGGGGUCAAACCCCGGUGCUGCAGUCAACGCAAUAAGUGACCCGCCUGAGUAGUACGUUCGCAAGAAUGAAACUCAAAGGACAUUGACGGAAGGGCGA
rnacentral:rRNA from 1 species